UGACCACAAACUUUUAUUUCAGUUUGAUGCUGACAGAAGGUCAUUCAUUAUCACCAUCAAUUCAUUUGGGACCGAGCUGAGCAAGGAGGAUCGCAUGAAGCUGUACCCACGAUGUGGUAACCUCUACCCCACUGGUCUUAAAUUACUUGGUGACUGCGAUGAUUUUGACCAAGUCAGAGCUGUUGCAGACUUUUACCCACAAUACAAGGAGUUAUUUGACAACUCUGGUUCUGGUGCA
rnacentral:sRNA from 1 species